rnacentral:rRNA from 1 species
GACGAACGCUGGCGGCGUGCUUAACACAUGCCAGUCGAACGGAAAGGCCCUGCUUUUGUGGGGUGCUCGAGUGGCGAACGGGUGAGUAACACGUGAGUAACCUGCCCUUGACUUUGGGAUAACUUCAGGAAACUGGGGCUAAUACCGGAUAGGAGCUCCUGCUGCAUGGUGGGGGUUGGAAAGUUUCGGCGGUUGGAGAUGGACUCGCGGCUUAUCAGCUUGUUGGUGGGGUAGUGGCUUACCAAGGCUUUGACGGGUAGCCGGCCUGAGAGGGUGACCGGCCACAUUGGGACUGAGAUACGGCCCAGACUCCUACGGGAGGCAGCAGUGGGGAAUAUUGCACAAUGGGCGGAAGCCUGAUGCAGCAACGCCGCGUGCGGGAUGACGGCCUUCGGGUUGUAAACCGCUUUCGCCUGUGACGAAGCGUGAGUGACGGUAAUGGGUAAAGAAGCACCGGCUAACUACGUG